rnacentral:rRNA from 1 species
UACGUAGGGUGCAAGCGUUAUCCGGAAUUAUUGGGCGUAAAGAGCUCGUAGGCGGUUUGUCGCGUCGAAAUGUGAAAACCCGGGGCUCAACCCCGGGCCUGCAUUCGAUACGGGCAGACUAGAGUUCGGUAGGGGAGUCUGGAAUUCCUGGUGUAGCGGUGAAAUGCGCAGAUAUCAGGAGGAACACCGGUGGCGAAGGCGGGACUCUGGGCCGAUACUGACGCUGAGGAGCGAAAGCGUGGGGAGCAAACAGG